AUGGGAUGCGUGGUACUCCCCCGGGACAAGCUCCGACAGGAAUUCUGGUGGCAGGAAGGACAGCAGCACCCACCACAGGGAUCAAGAGAGGCCUCCAAAAACAACAGAUUCUCCAAAGAAGAAAUCAAAGAGACGGAAGGCAGGAAGUGGCCCUUAUCCUGUGAUCUCACGGCAUCCCACUUGGAGCUCGGUGCCCCAAAGGGAGACCUCUUCUCUGAAGUGAUAAGAUGAGAUGCUUUCUGUGAGAUCUGAGAGGCCGUUGGGGCUUAGGGCAGUCUUGUCAGCAGGAUGCUGGCUGCUUGAUCAGGGGCUUAAAUCAUAAUCUCCAGGAGACUCCUGUGGCUAAAACUCUCAAGAGCUGACAUGAGGGCCAAACAAUUGAGGAAUUCAUGCCCCAGAUUGGAGGGAAAUGAGCUGAUGCCUGGAAGAUUCUGGGGCCAGUUCACUUACAGCGUCAUGAGAGACUUCGACACCAGAUUAGAUAUCCUUCCUGCCCUGUAAGUUAUGUUCUGGGUUUUCUGUGAGAACACAGACCUCCUUAUCAGGAAAGAGGGAUGCAGGAGCACCAGUCCCUCAGAGAAAAGAGAGCCCAGGAAAAUACAUCAGGAUUAGAACAGCAGGACAAGCAUCGUGGUGAAAACAGGAGCAGAGGAGGUUAAUUUCAUCUGGGCAGGGUGCUUAAUAGGCACAUAGGGAGCACGUGCUGGGUGGUUGUUCAGUCUCUCAGUUGUGUCUGACUCUCUGAGACCCCAUGGACUGCAGCAUCCAGGCUCCCCUGCCUUUCACUAUCUCCUGGAGUUUGCUCAAACUCAUGUCCGUUGAGUCAAUGAUAACAUCUAACCAUCUCAUCUUCUGUCGCCCCCUUCUCCUUCUGCCCUCGAUCUUUCCCAGCAUCAGGGUUUUUUCCAAUGAGUCAGCUCUUUGAAUCAGGUAGCUAAAGUAUUGGAGCUUCAGCUUUAGCAUCAGUCCUUCCAAUGAAUAUUCAGGGUUGUUUUCCUUUAGGAUUGACUGGUUUGAUCUCCUUGCUGUCCAAGGAACUCUCAAGAAUCUUCUACAACACCACAGUUCAAAAGUAUUCUUGGUGGAGGAGACAGCAUUUCUAAAAACCCUGCAAUGAGAUACUGCCUCACACCCCGUAGGAUGCCUGUUGUCAAAAAGUAGCUGGUGGGGAUGUGGAAAAAUUGGAACCCUUGUACACUGUUAGUGGGAAUGUAAAAUGGUGCAGCUGCUAUGGAAAACAGUAUGGAGGUUCUUCAAAAAAAAUUAAAACUAGAACUACCAUGUGAUACAACAGUACCACUUCUGGGUAUAUACCUGAAAGAAUUAAAAGGAGGAACCAAAUGGAUAUUUGUACAUCUUGUUAGUAGUAGCUUUAUUCAUAAUAGUUGAAAGGUGGAAACAACCUAAGCACCCACUGAUGGAUGAAUGGAUAAACCAAUGUGAUCUAGUCAUACAAUAAAAUUUCAUCCAUUCCCCCA
ensembl:lncRNA